AUUAUUAGAAAUAAUAUAUUGUUAGUAUAUAAAACUUACGAAAACAAAAAAUUAUGGCGGUAUCUUAAGCUUUUCAGAGGAAUUUGCUCUUUAAUGGAUAAAACACCCAAAUCUUACUAAAGUUGGUAAAGACAGCUUGUAUACCACUAUUAAAGCAAUUAUUAAUUAUAAUUGCUGUAAAUUUUAUACAAAAAAUAAGUUAAGUCAAGGUGCAGCUUAAACUUUAGGAUGAAGUGAAUUACAAUUCUCUUUAGACAAUUAUUUUGUUUUUAAAAAUAAAAAAAAUUAGGAUUUGAAAGUAAAAAUUUUAAUAAAAUGAUUAUUUGAAUUAAGCUCUGAAAUAUGUAC
rnacentral:rRNA from 1 species